AAGAACUUGGGCUUGAGCCCUCUGCUCCUCAGGAGCCAGAAGACUAUUUAAACGGGAAUAAUAAUGCUACCUACAAAGGAAAACUGAAAGCAGCAGGCUGUGUGUGCAAGCAGGCGGGAGGGGCCAGGCGGCACUGACGGACAGGAGGUUACGCCAGCCGUGCUGGGGUUUGGUGGCUCAAGGGGACCCAUGGAGACCAGGGGGCUGCUGGGAGAAGCAGGGAGGAGUGGACAUUCUCUGCUGCAACAGCUACAGGGUUAGGAGUGGAGGUUCGAUUCUGAUUGGCACUUGCCUCCUUUGGAAAUGACCUUCCGUGAUGAAACAGUCUGUGGCGUGAGCUCAUCAGGACGGCAUCUGAAGGGACUUUGGAGAGAGGACCUCAGAGUGCUCCAUCUAUCUAACGGCUUCACCUGAUCAUCCAUAUAAACCAUGUGCAUCGGCUUCCUAAUGAGCACCUUUCUUGGCAGGGGAUGACUGAGGGGCUUCAGUUUUACAGUGGUUCACAUUCUGAGCUCCUCCCCUCACACACACUCUGGAUUUACAGGGGGUGAGUGAAAGCAGGAUCUGGCCUACUGGGUAUGAAGAAGUCAGGAAGCAGGUGUAAACAGCAAACCCAAUUAGCAGUCACAGGGAAAGGGUGGUUUGCCACCACCCUGUCCUUCCCAGCCAGGCAGAGUGAGCACAAAAGGCCAGCACAGGAGCGUGGUGGCCUGGGAUGCCCGCGUUGCACUGGUGCAGGGUGCAGGGCAGUGGCAAAUUGGGCCAUGGGUGUGUAAAGCCAACAGUGUCUACACUACAUUCAGCCUGGUGGAAAUGCCCAGAGACCUGUGGGCAUGUCCUCUCAUGUCAAGGCUGGAUUUGGCCCUGCUGGGCAGGGUGGGGGCAGCACACACUUUCCAGCCAGUAGCUGCCUGGAGUCUCAGCCCAUUUUGUCCACACACCUUGGGCCAGAGUCAUCCCGGGUCCAAUUCUAGGGGAGCCCUUUGCCCUGCUGCUGCUCUCAUGCACUCCCAUGGGAAUGACGCCUCUGGAGCCCACGGAGUCACCCCAGCAUCACUCGGGAUUUACAGCAGCCUGAGUGAGAGCGGGACUGGGCUCCGCGGAGUCACAUGGAGAAUGAAUUUGGCCCUAAUUAUUUCCCUAAAGCAGCCUCAAGAGCCACUGUAGUUUUUCAGCCACACCAUCAGAGGCUCUUUCACCUGCACAUCUACCAAUGUGAUAUUUGCCAUCAAGUGCC